rnacentral:rRNA from 1 species
CGAAUAGUGGCGGACGGGUGAGUAACGCGUGGGUAACCUGCCCAUAAGUGGGGAAUAACAGUUGGAAACGACUGCUAAUACCGCAUAAGCUGAGCAAUCAGUAAAGGAGGCUUUUGCUUCCGCUUAUGGAUGGGCCCGCGUCUGAUUAGCUGGUUGGUGGGGUAAUGGCCUACCAAGGCAACGAUCAGUAGCCGGCCUGAGAGGGUGGACGGCCACACUGGGACUGAGACACGGCCCAGACUCCUACGGGAGGCAGCAGUGGGGAAUAUUGCGCAAUGGGGGAAACCCUGACGCAGCGACGCCGCGUGAGCGAAGAAGGCCUUAGGGUCGUAAACUCCUGUCAUGUGGGACAAGAUGGCAUCCGCUAACACCGGUGUGCCUUUGAUGGUACCACAAGAGGAAGCCACGGCUAACUCUGUGCCAGCAGCCGCGGUAAUACAGAGGUGGCGAGCGUUGUUCGGAUUUACUGGGCGUAAAGCGUGCGUAGGCGGUCGCGUGUGUCGGAUGUGAAAUCCCGGGGCUCACCCCCGGAAGUGCAUCCGAAACUGCGCGGCUUGAGGCCGGGAUGGGUGACUGGAACACAUGGUGUAGCGGUGAAAUGCGUUGAUAUCAUGUGGAACACCGGAGGCGAAGGCGAGUCACUGGAACGGAUCUGACGCUGAGGCACGAAAGCGUGGGGAGCAAACAAGAUUAGAUACCCUGGUAGUCCACGCCGUAAACGUUGCCACAUUUCCCGUGGGGGGAUUGACCCCCCGCCGUGGCGGAGCUAACGCGUUAAAUGUGCCGCCUGGGGAGGUACGGCCGCAAGGUUAAAACUCAAAGAAAUUGACGGGGGCCCGCACAAGCGGAGGAGCAUGUGGCUUAAUUCGAAGCAACGCGAAGAACCUUACCAGGACUUGACAUACUAGUGCCAAAUGUAGAGAUACAUUAUUUCUUCGGAACACUAAUACAGGUGGUGCAUGGUUGUCGUCAGCUCGUGUCGUGGGAUGUUGGGUUAAGUCCCGCAACGAGCGCAACCCCUAUGUUUAUUUGCCAGCAUUUCGGAUGGGAACUAUAGACAGACUGCCGAUAAGAAAUCGGAGGAAGGUGGGGAUGACGUCAAAUCAUCAUGCCCUAUAUGUCCUGGGCUACACACGUGCUACAAUGGUCGUUACAGAGAGCAGCUACACAGUGAUGUCACGCGAAUCUCAAAAAGGCGAUCUCAGUUCGGAUUGUACUCUGCAACUCGAGUACAUGAAGUCGGAGUUGCUAGUAAUCGCAAAUCAGAAUGUUGCGGUGAAUGCGUUCCCGGGUCUUGCACACACCCCCCGUCA